UACGGAGGGGGCUAGCGUUGUUCGGAAUUACUGGGCGUAAAGCGCACGUAGGCGGCUUUGUAAGUUAGAGGUGAAAGCCUGGAGCUCAACUCCAGAAUUGCCUUUAAGACUGCAUCGCUUGAAUCCAGGAGAGGUGAGUGGAAUUCCGAGUGUAGAGGUGAAAUUCGUAGAUAUUCGGAAGAACACCAGUGGCGAAGGCGGCUCACUGGACUGGUAUUGACGCUGAGGUGCGAAAGCGUGGGGAGCGAACAGG
rnacentral:rRNA from 1 species